GUGGGUUCUUUCUGAUUAGCUCUUAAUUGAGAUCACCUGUCACGCACCCCUUUAUUAAAGGUGAACACAAUGGGUUUGGUUUACUUUUUGCAUCGGCCUGUGUCAAUCGAGGUUGAGUUUAGUGAGGGUUGAAAGUUUUCGAUCUAGAUUGCAGAUCACUAUUGUCACUUUAUACAAACUGAAAGUAUGCGUUGUUGCGUGUUUGUUUUUGUGGGCAUUUGACUGAACAGCCCAGACAAAUAUUGCUACCAACAUGGCACUUCGAAACAGACCACCGCAGGGGACUUGACUGGUGAGUCUACUGGAUUAAUCAGUAGCGGUACUUUGCCCAACAGAUUUGAUGGCAUGACUACAGGGUGACAAAGACAAUUAUUCCCUGCCUAUCAAAAGAGACUUCUAAAACAUAUCUGCUAGAACAGUUCCUAUACUUUUUGUAUAAUUUGGUCAUGCUGCAAAUUUACUUUUUGUAGUUGCUCCAUAUUUAGUUCUUUGACAGCCUCACCUGCUAGAAAAGUCUAUUGAAAUCGGCUAAAUAUAAUGAACUAAAUUAAUAGCCAUGAAAUGUUGUCACUCAUACUAAUGGCAAACACCCCCUUUCAGUUGGUGGUUCAACACUGAUGUCUCUCUAGGCUUGAGGGAGAGCUCACAAGUCAAUUACACGAAUGUCCUAGUGAACGACUGCAGGUCGUUCACACAAUAGAGGAGUGUUUGAAGCGACGUGUGUGGGUGGAUUGGUCGUUGAAAAUCAAGCUCUGGCCAGCAGAGGCGCUAUAGAGUAUGGACUAAACACUCACACACUUUCAGGUCCCCUCUUGGCAAAAGUUGUGAAAAUGCGUCAAAAUAUUUUAGCCAUGUUUUUAGGUUGAAAGUGUGUGAGCAAGGCAUGACCAAAAGGGGACCUGAAAAAUGUCCCCUCUUGGCUCGGAGGUCCCCUGUUGGUGAAGGUGUUACGACGCCGAAGUCCACUGUUGGAUAGUUAGGCAAGUACACACACAUACACACAUUCUCCCUCUCACAGACUAAUUAUUUGACUCAUACACACACACACAUUCACUCUGAAACUGUUCUCUAUAAUACACACACACACACACACACACACACACACACACACACACACAC
ensembl:lncRNA